rnacentral:rRNA from 1 species
AGCGAACGCUGGCGGCAGGCCUAACACAUGCAAGUCGAACGAACCUUUCGGGGUUAGUGGCGGACGGGUGAGUAACACGUGGGAACGUGCCUUUAGGUUCGGAAUAACUCAGGGAAACUUGUGCUAAUACCGAAUGUGCCCUUCGGGGGAAAGAUUAAUCGCCUUUAGAGCGGCCCGCGUCUGAUUAGCUAGUUGGUUGAGGUAAUGGCUCACCAAGGCGACGAUCAGUAGCUGGUCUGAGAGGAUGAUCAGCCACAUUGGGACUGAGACACGGCCCAAACUCCGAGGGGACGGAGGAGUGGAAAAGCAGAGAAUAGGGCAGAAGGGGUGACACGGGAAUGGUGCGAGAAUGAGGUAGGGUUGAGGAGUGAAAGAUUGUAGAGCGGGGGGAGUAAGUAAGGGUACACGGAGAAGAAGCACCGGCUGUGUUCGGGCGAGCGGAGGAGAAAGUCGGGGGGAGGAGCAAG